UUCAGUCCCUGGCUGCCAUCCAACAAGUUUUUCAAGAGUUCGAAGCUCUAACUGGCCUCUUUAUCAGCCAAGAAAAAAAAGUAAGCUUGACUUUCACCGGGCCACCGUUUUUCUUUUUUCUAUCUCGUUGUUAAAGUGCUCCUACCGAAGCUGCUGCGUCUACCUGUUUCCCUAUUCCCGUCGUUGUUGCUGCUUGCGGGACUAUUGUAUAUAUUUAUAUAGUUAUAAUACUAAGCCCCUAUGAAUUAGGGCCGCAGAAAUGGUUUUAUACGCAAUUUCUUAGUCCUAAAACGAAUCUACGUAUUAACAAGGUGUUUCCUCAUCAAACGUGGAGAAAGUGCUUUCUAUUUUCUUUAACAGGUCGAACCCUCUCUGAAGACCUUGAGGGAAGAACAAAAUAUGGGGAACAAGAACUCGGUAAAGGAGAUUCUUUAGAAAAACGUUUGAGUAUAGUAUUUUUCAUAGGACAGGACUUUGCUUCGACUUCAGUCAACACGCUUCAAAUA
rnacentral:lncRNA from 1 species